CCUACGGGAGGCAGCAGUGGGGAAUAUUGCACAAUGGGGGAAACCCUGAUGCAGCGACGCCGCGUGGGCGAAGAAGUAUUUCGGUAUGUAAAGCCCUAUCAGCAGGGAAGAAGAAAUGACGGUACCUGAGUAAGAAGCACCGUCUAAAUACGUGCCAGCAGCCGCGGUAAUACGUAUGGUGCAAGCGUUAUCCGGUUUUACUGGGUGUAAAGGGAGCGCAGGCGGCACGGCAAGCCUGAUGUGAAAGCCCGGGGCCCAACCGCGGGACUGCAUUGGGAACUACCGGGCUGGAGUGCCGGAGAGGUAGGCGGAAUGCCUAGUGUAGCGGUGAAAUGCGUAGAUAUUAGGAGGAACACCAGUGGCGAAGGCGGCCUACUGGACGGUGACUGACGCUGAGGCUCGAAAGCGUGGGGAGCAAACAGGAUUAGAUACCCGAGUAGUC
rnacentral:rRNA from 1 species